rnacentral:rRNA from 1 species
UACAGAGGGUGCAAGCGUUGUUCGGAUUUACUGGGCGUAAAGCGCGUGUAGGCGGCCGGUUGUGUCGAAUGUGAAAGCCCUCGGCUUAACCGAGGAAGUGCAUUCGAAACUGACUGGCUUGAGUACCGGAGAGGGGGGUGGAAUUCCCGGUGUAGAGGUGAAAUUCGUAGAUAUCGGGAGGAACACCAGUGGCGAAAGCGACCCCCUGGACGGAUACUGACGCUGAGACGCGAAAGCGUGGGGAGCAAACAGG